GACGAACGCUGGCGGCGUGCCUAAUACAUGCAAGUCGAGCGAUGAAGGAGAUACUUGUAUCUUUUGAAGAGCGGCGAACGGGUGAGUAACGCGUGGGGAAUCUGCCAAUGAGUGGGGGACAACAUUUGGAAACGAAUGCUAAUACCGCAGAAAAUCUAUUGAGACAUCUCAAGAGAUUGAAAGGAACAAUUGUUUCGCUCGUUGAUGAUCCCGCGUUGUAUUAGCUAGUUGGUGAGGUAAGGGCUCGCCAAGGCGAUGAUACAUAGCCGACCUGAGAGGGUGAUCGGCCACAUUGGGACUGAGACACGGCCCAAACUCCUACGGGAGGCAGCAGUAGGGAAUCUUCGGCAAUGGACGAAAGUCUGACCGAGCAACGCCGCGUGAGUGAAGAAGGUUUUCGGAUCGUAAAGCUCUGUUGUUGUUAAAGAACGUUGAUGAGAGUGGAAAGUUCAUCAAGUGACGGUAAACAACCAGAGAGGGACGGCUAACUACGUGCCAGCCGCCGCGGUAA
rnacentral:rRNA from 1 species